rnacentral:rRNA from 1 species
UACGUAGGGACCGAGCGUUGUCCGGAUUUACUGGGCGUAAAGAGCGCGCAGGCGGUCGAUCAAGUCGAGUGUGAAAGCCCCCGGCUCAACUGGGGAGGGUCAUUCGAUACUGAUCGACUCGAAGGCAGGAGAGGGUAGUGGAAUUCCCGGUGUAGUGGUGAAAUGCGUAGAUAUCGGGAGGAACACCUGUGGCGAAAGCGGCGCACUGGACCACAACUGACGCUGAGGCGCGAAAGCUAGGGGAGCAAACGGG